ACAAAUUCACAGGGCACACCUACCAAAUAGGCUACCAUCGCAUGGUCAGCAAGUCCACCCGAACCUCCUCACACCAAAUGGUCGCCACAGAUGCCCUCGUGAACCUCCCGAAGAGCAUAUUCAGCUUCAGAUGGAGUUAAACAUUUCAGCAAUGGAGAUGAAAAAGCCCUUCGAUAAAGAUCCCCAUCAAUAAGAACAAAGUUAGCACUCUUGUACAUAACUUUCUUAGCCAGCAUCUGAUCCGAAGGAAGAACGCCAUCGAUCCAGCAAAGGUGUUCACUUCGGUAAUAGCCAGUUUUGACAAGGCAUUGGUAAUGGAGUCAUCAUUGUGAUCGACCUCCUCGUUGUUUGUUUCUCUGAAUCUGAACCUGAUAGCCUGUUGUACUGUAUGAAUUAGAAUAUCCGCCUGUUGUACUGUAUGAAUUAGUAUUCCAUCUUAAAUCUCUAAAAACUACAGAUAGAUUGAGACUAAUUUCUGAGAAUAAGUGAAGUGCUAAAAUGCACAAAAGAAGCAUACCAUAUGACCAGUAAUAUGUAGGUAACCAGAGGCUCUAAACUAGCCAGUCUAGCCAUAAUACCCUUAAUAUUUCUCCUCCAAUCAAAUGAGGAUAUAAAAGCAGUCUCAAACUUCCAAAUGAUUUCCCAUAAAAAGUUUGCAAGACUUUGCUCUAUUCAAUAAACUCACCAUACUUUGACGUGGUAGCUGCCAUAAACAAUUGGAUCACUGGCUACACCUCUUAAGCUACUCCCUAUAGAGAUAUGGGGGGAAAAGGUUAACAGUCAAGAGAAGAUCCAAUAUCUCGGAUCAGGUCUUUUGCUAGCAGUAUAAAUUAAUCUUCUUUUGUCAUCAGCAUAAACUUUUGUAUGAGAACCAAAGACGAACUUGUAGCCAUCGGUUGUCCUUCAGGGGUAACCGUUCUACUCUUCAUCAUAAGUUCCGACGUAGAACAAUUAAAAGUUGUGAUUGAAAACUCAAGAACACUAGAAACAACCCUCCUUCUAGCGCUAAUGUUAACGCCAAGAUCUUUUCACGUACCGUCGGGGGAUAGCUCCGGCGUAAGAGUCAGUACAGGCGAUCACAAGGUUUAAUAAUGGAGAAAAAUAAAGUAUAGUGUCUUGAGAGAGAAAUAUCAGUUACCUUCCAUUUUGUGUUAUCCUUCUUGGUUUUGUAUGCCACUGACCUCUCCUGGCCCACCACCUUUCGCCGACUAGGCCCUUUCCAAUUCUCAUUAAAUAAAAUGCAGAGAUGACAGUCAAAGUUUUAUCCCCAUAAUCAUCACCGGUCAAAGCCCCAGUGGAACCAUACUCAUCCAACGAUUCGGCCCACUGUCUCGACCCAAUGCUCCAUAGGCCCAAAUAAAGAUAUUAUCCACCCAAUGAGUUGGCCCAAUGAACCGGCCCAAUACUUUCAAGACCCACCCCAACAUGUCUAAAGCAUUAUGGCCCAACAACUUCAAUCUUGGAGAUGAACCGGUUGUACAACUAAUGUCUUUUUUAUCUAGAUAAACUAGUUGAUCGAUAUUACUCCAACAGAACAAUAAGUGAUUGCUAUCUAUUGGGCUAGCUUUCAUUGGUAUGUUAAUUUUCUACUGAAUAUGGAUCCAACAAACAUUUACAGGUACGAGAAGGAGUUGCCAGGAGUAGACAUAUUUGUGUGCACAGCUGACCCAACAGUAGAGCCACCAAUUAUGGUGAUCAACACUGUUCUAUCGGUCAUGGCUUACGAUUACCCGCCUGAAAAACUUAGUGUUUAUCUCUCAGACGAUGGUGGCUCGGAGCUUACUUUCUAUGCUCUCCUAGAAGCCUCUCUUUUCUCCAAGCAUUGGAUAUCUUAUUGCAAGAAAUAUAGAGUAGAGCCACGUUCUCCUGCUGCUUAUUUUACCACCUCUCAUCACUCUGCAGACCCAUUUGAUGUAAACUACUCUCAAGAUUUGGCCUAUAUUAAGGUACUACUAGUCUAUUACAUGCUUCCCAUCGAUAAAGAAAUGUGUGAAACUUGCUCCCUCAUACUUGUUACUUUUUGUUGUUGCUUAUCUACUAGACUACCACUGUUUUAUAUUAUUCUCAAACUCAUUUCCACUAGGACUAGGCCACUACAUAUAAUAAAAACCAACUAAAAGAAGAUUCAUUCUUAGUUAUGAUGUUAAUUAGUCGAUGGAAAUCUAUAGUCAUGUUAUGACAUACUACUAUCGAAUUAAUAAUGUGAAUUAAACUAGGACUUGCAAAGUAGUUUUAUUAUCUCUAAGUAACAGUAGUGAGUAGUCUAAUUGAAUGUAAACAAUUUUUUUUCUGUUUCCCCCUUGUUUAAGUAUAAUUUCUUCUUCCAAAUAUUAGUUACCAUGCAUGCAUUUCAUAAAUUAUGUUCUAUUUCAUUGAUAAGAAAAUCUUAUAGCUGCCAUGUUUAUUUACUAUGUGUUGAAGAAAUUAUAUGAAGACUUGAAAAACCGAAUUGAAAGUGCAACAGAGCUUGGAAGAAUUCCCGAAAUAGUACGCUUACAAUAUAAAGGAUUUUCCCGGUGGGAUUCAUUUUCAUCUCCCAGAGACCACGACACCAUACUUCAAGUAAUUACUUCAUACUGAAAAUUUUAUGCAACCCACACCGAUCACUAUUUGACUAAGCUAAACAAAAGGUUUAGCUUGUUAAAAUUGUGUCAACUGAAUGCAUGCCCGAACAAGCUUUGAGGUAUUUGAUAUUGAAUUAAUUUUUGUAUGCAUAUAUGCUUGGUUGAUUUUUUUCCUUUUUUCACCAGAUAUUGAUUGAUGGAACAAACCGAAAGGCUAGUGAUAUUGAAGGGUGUACGCUUCCAAGCCUUGUAUACUUGGCUCGGGAGAAGAGACCUCAGCAUUCCCAUAAUUUCAAAGCUGGAGCGAUGAAUGCGUUGGUAAUAUAGAUUCAUGGAAAUCAAAUAUACACAUACACUUACAUAUGUUGUAUCACAUUUUAAUGUGAUUGUUUAUGAUGAAAUUGCUAACAUAGCCACUUACAUUGUAAAUAGGUUUAUUGAAGUGUCGGGAGAUGAUUCUACAGUAUUAUAUGGAUUGCUUACUACCUUUGUGUGGGAAAUUGCAGAUAAGAGUGUCAUCAAAGAUGAGCAAUGGGCCGAUAAUACUAAAUGUAGACUGCGAUAUGUACUCUAAUAACUCUCAGUCAGUGAGGGAUGCUCUUUGCUUUUUCAUGGAUGAGCAAAAGGGCCAUGAGUUUGCUUAUGUUCAAUACCCACAAAAUUUUGAAAAUGUUUCUAACAAUGAUGUUUACGCUAGUUCCUUAAGAAUAAUUAGCGAGGUGAGUUUAAAUAAAUGCAUAUCUUCAUUAAAAGAAUUGAAAAUUAUCUACAGCAUGUCAAUUAUGUUUACUUUUUGCUGAUCAAAAAGUAAAAUUAUGUUUUACCUUUUUCAAUGGAUUUUUUGCUAUCAAGGUGGAUUUCCAUGGCCUGGAUGGUUUGGGAGGUCCUCUAUAUGUUGGAACUGGCUGCUUUCACAGAAGAGAUACUCUUUGUGGAAGAGUUUUCAGUAAGGAUCAAAUCAGGAGUGAAUGGAAGAGAGGCAGUGAUCACAGAACGACUGAAGACACUGCUUAUGAACUAGAAGAAAGACUAAAGGAUCUAGCAAGCUGUACGUUUGAGAAGAACACUCAGUGGGGAAAUGAGGUACUCAUCUAUGUGUUUUUAAUGCCUAUGUGUGUCCUUGUGUGCUUGAUGAAUGGUUGAAAUUGCAGAUGGGUUUGAAAUAUGGGUGUCCGGUUGAAGAUGUGAUAACGGGCCUAUCAAUUCAAAGCAAUGGAUGGAAAUCGGUAUAUUUCAAUCCAGAAAGAAAAGGUUUCUUAGGUGUUGCUCCCACCUCUUUGGAUCUGACUCUCAUGCAGCACAAGAGAUGGUCUGAGGGUGAUCUGCAGAUCUUGCUUUCAAAGUACAGUCCAGCAUGGUACGGUCUUGGAAGGAUUAACCCUGGCCUUAUAAUGGGAUACUGUGUGUACUGUCUCUGGGCUCCUAGUAGCUUGGCAACACUAUAUUACUGUAUCAUCCCUUCCCUUCAUCUCCCAAGUGGAAUUUCUUUGUUUCCUCAGGUACUUUUAUAUAUAUAUGUGUGUAUAUAUAUAUAUAUAUAUAAUAUAGCAUGUAAUUCUUCAAGUGUAGUAAUGAAUUGCUUAAGCUUAGUUAACUAGGAGUAUCUACAAGCUUAGUAAUUAGUUUUUACAAAUUUUGGUCAUUACGAUGGUUCAUGACAAAAGAAUCACAAGCUAAAUUUUGCUUUGCAACUAAAUCCAGAUAUCAAGCCCAUGGUUUAUACCAUUUGCCUACAUUAUAAUAAGCAAGUACUCAUACGGCUUUGCCGAGUUCCUCUGGUCUGGUGGCACGGUCCUGGGCUGGUGGAAUGACCAAAGGAUAUGGCUCUACAAAAGAACAAGCUCCUACUUUUUUGCCCUUGUCGAGACCAUUCUUAGCCUGGUGGGAUAUUCCAACAUGAGAUUUGUAAUCACAUCGAAAAUAGCUGAUCAAGAAGCUUCUCAGAGAUAUGAGCAAGAGAUGUUGGAGUUUGGGACAUCAUCUGCCAUGGUCACCACAUUAGCAACACUUGCGAUGCUUAAUCUGUUUUGUUUUGUUGGUCUGGUGAAGCAAGUAGUGAUGGGCGUUGGAUUUGCCAAAGCUUGUGAAGCAAUGGCUAUACAGAUUAUUCUAUCUUCUUUUCUGGUUUUGAUUAACUUGCCAAUAUAUCAGGCUCUUUUCCUGCGGCAGGACAAGGGCAAAUUGCCAAGCUCUGUGGCACUUAAAUCAGUUUCUUUAGCUUUCUUUGCAUGUACAUGUUUUACAUUCUUAAAUUAGUUUUUUUUUUAUUUUGCAACCUUCAACUCUACUUGACCGUAAGUUGAAGAGAAGUAUAUAUUAAUGAAUAAGAGAUGAAAGAUGUCUUCAGUUGGGUUUGUUUACAUCUGAAUAGCUCUUAUGCUACGUUUGGAUUGAAGGAAUGGAAUAGAGUAGGGAAUGGAAUAGAUGAGGGAAUGGAAUAAGGAAGGGAAUGGAAUGAUUUUUUAAUAUUUCAUGUACAUGUUUGGUUGAUAUUAGGAAUACAUCUAAGAAUGAAAUAAAUAAUUAGAAAGUGACUUAAAUACCCUCAAAUGUUCAAAUUUAACUUAAAUUCAAUUUAUAUUAAAAAUUUAACACAUUUCAUUUUUAGAAAUAAAGGGGGUGGGUGGGGUAGGUNNNNNNNNNNNNNNNNNNNNNNNNNNNNNNNNNNNNNNNNNNNNNNNNNNNNNNNNNNNNNNNNNNNNNNNNNNNNNNNNNNNNNNNNNNNNNNNNNNNNNNNNNNNNNNNNNNNNNNNNNNNNNNNNNNNNNNNNNNNNNNNNNNNNNNNNNNNNNNNNNNNNNNNNNNNNNNNNNNNNNNNNNNNNNNNNNNNNNNNNNNNNNNNNNNNNNNNNNNNNNNNNNNNNNNNNNNNNNNNNNNNNNNNNNNNNNNNNNNNNNNNNNNNNNNNNNNNNNNNNNNNNNNNNNNNNNNNNNNNNNNNNUAAAUUACGAAGAAAUAGAAAUAUAGAAAUUCCGAAGAAAUUAUCAAAUCUCGGCCCCUUCUCUCUCGUCGUUCCCAGAUCGAUCGAAUUGAAUGAAUAUGUAAAAAGCCCUACUAUAUCUUUAGGGGUAUAUUUGUCAAUUACUUAAAAAUAAUUGAUAAAAUGAUUUAUUCCUGGCCACCCUCAAGGAAUGAAAAUUAAAAUUUUAAGUUAACUAUCAUUCCAGGAGGAAUACAUUAUUCCGUUGGAAUAAACAAACCAAACAACAUUUUUAUCAUUCCAAUGAAAUGAUUCAUUCCAUUCUCCCUCCUAUUCCAUCGAUCCAAACGUAGCAUUAAUGUAUAUGCCUCUGAAUCGAUCAGAGGCAAAAUUUGAAACAAGUCCUACCCUACGGUAAUAGAUAUUACAAAGAGGUGAAGAGUAUAAAAUAGAGAAGGAAAAUAAAGGCCUAAUUUACCUCUUGGUUAUUCAUUCAUCAUUAUUUAUAAUUAACAAAUGAGUUUUAAAACAAUUCAAGUACAACAACUUCCUAAACGGGAUAAUAUACUUUUUGGUCACUGUAUUAGGUCCGAUUUUUAUUGUGGUUAACCAAAUUUUUUUUGUUACAAUCGAAUAAUUGUACUCUCAAAAAUUACAAAAUGAUCAUUAUUUUUAAUUUUCGUCCGAAAAAACGGACAGAAUGCUAACUGUGCAUAUUGGUGUAAAAAUACAUUAUUGAUAUCAAAUUGGCAAAGAGACCAUCUUCGACUAACAACAAGACUCAAAACAAGGCGCACCGUAGUUGGCUUGAGCACAUGACUAAAUGUAUGAUACUAUUGUAGGUUGUGUUAGGUGAUGAGUUAUUAAUUUAAAUUAGAAUAAGCAAAAAUGUUUUAAAAAAGUGAAAAAAAAAUUCUACAUAGCUUUGACUUUUAAGCCUUUGAUCUUAGAAUCGUAGUUAAUUUAUUUAGUUUUAAACAAUAUAAUUAUGAAAAUUAAAAACUUUUUAUAAAAUAAUUCUCAAAAUUUAUUGUAUUCAAAAGUUAAUUAUCACAUCCCUUUCGAAUUAAAAAUAUUUCCUAUCGACUUUAAAAAUUCAUAUUUGACCAGUUGUUCUAAUUAUUUAUAUUUCGGAAGUAUUUGAUAUUAAUACAUUCUAAAUUUUCAAGGUUAACAAUAUUAGUCUAUUAGAUAUUGAAUUAAUAUAAAUUAACUAAAUUCACAUUAUUUUAAAUCUUAAAAUUUUACAAUUUCAUAUUUUCAUUAUAAAAAAUCUUAAAUAAGACUAUUUUUAUGAAGAUGGAGUAUUAUUUAUUUAUUCUAGACUUAUUAUGUAAUAAAUAAUAAUAUUGACCACUAAUCCACUACUAUUAAUUUAAUAUAUUAUAUAUAUAUAUAUGAUAAUAUGAUACAUAUUAUAUCUUAUUCCUAAAUAAGUCUUAUAUAGUGUGAUAUAAGACUUAUAUAUCAAUGAUAAUAUGAUAAUAAUAUAAUAUGAUAUAUAUUAUAUUUAUAUGAUUAUAUCUUAUUCUAAAAAUGAUGAUUACAAUAUUUAAUCAAUUUUUUGAUUGAACUACUUAGAGUCAUAGAGAAGACAUUUUUUGUAUUUAUUUAACUGUUUUUUGUUUCAAAGUUCUAAGUUUAUGUUCGUGAACAAGCUUGUUCGUGAAUAAGCUUGGUGUUCGCGAACAAACUUGGUGUUCGCGAACAAACUUGUGUUCGACUUGUUUACAAACACCAAACGAUCCAAACUCAUACAUAGUUGUUGGUUCGAUCAAGUUACUCGAACAUGUUCGAGUUCGACUAAAAGUGUUCGAGUUCAACAAAGUUCGGUUCUACAGCUCUAACUAAACCAACCGAAAUAUAAUAAUCAAAUUAAUUAUAUAAAAUAAGAUAUAAUUAUAAUAUUAAUAGUUUAGGCCUGUUUUUCUUUAAAAAAAAUAAUAUAGUUCUAAACUUUAACCCCCCCAAAUAAUAAUUUGGAGCAGUUAACCAACCCAAUCAUUGUAGUUAAUUUGAUUUGACCCACUAGUUUGUAAAUGAAAUUGCCAGGUCCUCAAGUGAAGGCUAGAUACUGAAGUACCCUUCAAGAUUGAUAAUUUCGAAUAGAGGAGAAUUCUAAUUACCUGAUGCUAAUGCAUUUUCCAUCAAGUAAUCCCUAUGACAAGCCAAGGAGUUUAAUUUGCUAAUAGAGCUUCCAUACCUUGCCCGCAUUUGCCUGUAAUUUUUUGCAUCAAAACCAAGUAGCUUGUAUACAAUAUUGGCUCAAGACCCAGAAAAAAUUAGCUGAGAAGUAUUCCAUCUUAAAUCUCUAAAAACUACAGAUAGAUUGAGACUUAUUUCUGAGAAUAAGAAGUGAAGUGCUAAAAUGCACAAAAGAAGCAUACCAUAUGACCAGUAAUAUGUAGGUAACCAGAGGCUCUAAACUAGCCAGUCUAGCCAUAAUACCCUUAAUAUUUCCCCUACAAUCACAUGACGAUAUAAAAGCAGUUUCAAACUUCCAAAUGAUUUCCCAUAAAAAGUUUGCAAGACUUUGCUCUAUUCAAUAAACUCACCAUACUUUGACGUGGUAGCUGCCAUAAACAAUUGGAUCACUGGCUACACCUCUUAAGCUACUCCCUGUAGAGAUAUGGGGGGAAAAGGUUAACAGUCAAGAGAAGAUCCAAUAUCUCGGAGAGGAUCACUCAAUAAAGUCCUCAGCAGGCAGCCUUUUUAUGUGACCCAUCAGUUUUUGGCAAACCACAAAUCCUUCUAUAUAUGAAGAGAACACUACGCUGCAUUGCCUUAAUAAACAGGAAUUAUUUAGUCAUCCUCAUCACUGAUCUCAAAGAUUAAACUUUUG
rnacentral:lncRNA from 1 species